rnacentral:rRNA from 1 species
AUUGAACGCUAGCGGGAUGCCUUACACAUGCAAGUCGAACGGAGUGGCGAACGGGUGCGUAAUGUAUCGGAACGUUCCCAGUAGCGGGGGAUAACUACGCGAAAGCGUAGCUAAUACCGCAUACUAUUGGAGCGGCAGCAAUCGGAUUAGCGAGUUGGGGGGGGAACGGCUCACCAAGGCGAUGGUACUAAGCUGGUUUGAGAGGACGACCAGCCACAUUGGAACUGAGAGACGGCCAAGCCUCCUACGGGAGUCAGCGGUGGGGAAUUUUGGAAAAUGGGGGAAACCCGGAUCCCGCCAUCCCGCGUGGGCGAUGCGGGCCUUCGGGUUGUAAAGCACUUUUGUCAGGAAAGCGGUACCUGAAGAAUAAGCACCGGCUAACUACGUGCCAGCAGCCGCGGUAAUUC